GGGGAGUUUGGUUUUGGGGUUCUUCUGGGUAGACCAUUCCUACAUGGUAAUUGCUGUGAGGAGUGAGAUUUUAGAAUCGGAAGAAAAUGUUUUAUGGUCUUAAUUUUAAUUUUCUUAUGAUCAGAAAUUCAAAAUAAUUUUAUAGAACAAGGAAAAUCAGCUGAAUUUGAGAUCUCAAAUCCAGGAGCAUUCGGAGGUAUAUACAGAUGAAUUAUUGAGAUGGCGUGAAUGGUCAUCGUUUCGGUGUUUAUCAAGUGUCAGUGCGUAACUUGGGAUUUAUCUGUCAAAAAGGUACUGUGAGUAUAUAGUUCCCAUCAAGUCUAAUGGAAUUUUGAAGUGAUUAUGGAUUGAUUUACCUCAUAUUCUUCACAUCAAAUGAAUAUGCAUAACGAUGGUACAAUCAGGCUAGGUAAUUUUGUCUAGAAUAAAAUAUCAAGUCUAUGGUGUUGUAAUGGGUGCCUCCUAGCAAGUUGGAUGUUGUACAAGGGUUGACUGUUCUUUCCAUGCUUUAAUUUUAUGACUUUAUUUGACUGGUUGAGACCCAAUUAAAAUUCCAAGAUGAGAAUAGUGUGUGGGUGUAUCUCAUCCUAGUGCUUUCUUUUAAUUUCUGCUCAUUUCCGACGAGCAUAGCAGAAGUAAUGUCAUAUGUCUCAUUUUGACUUCUAGCGGAAUCUAUAGAAAAUCUUCCAUACAGAUUCUAAAUAAGUUUGGUUGGAUAAAUUUUAUGGGUUGUUAGUUAUGCUUGCACCAUUGAUCUAUAUAUAUAUAUAUAUAUAUUAAUUGGUAUCCAUUCACUUGAUAGACGUGGCUUAGAGACGUAUAUUGACAUGGUGUUCAUCCUGAUCUCUUUUACAUGUUCCCUUGCUCACUGGAUUGAUCUCAUACAUUUUGGAAGUUACCAUUUACGUAGUAUAUAUGGUUGGAGAUAUUGGUUUUGCUGUGGUUAGGAACUUUGUAGCAUUUUAUAGGGAGAACCAUAUACCUACAAAACUAUACGUGUAACCCUGCGUUGCAGUAUGUACGUGGAAAAUUAAGUUUUUGUUUGUUCUGUAAAUAGGGAUGGGUUAUCCUUUUACAUGUCGGUGACUUCCGUUUUGGUGUUCUUCGCAGCGACAUUGUUUAGACCAUUUUGCACAGCAAAACGAGUGGAAUUGGUCGCACUUGCUAUAUUGAAUAUUUUGUUCUUGCAAUAAUUUGUUUGGUAGACUAGCCGAACAUACUUGAGAUGAUUAACCAUGUUCUUUUUUGAAAUAUUUUAGCGGCUGAUUAUGGACUGAUCUUAGUAUAAGUUUUGUUAUUGCAUAGGCAGUGUCAAUUUCCAUUAUCGUGUAUUUUUUUGUUAUGAAUUCAUGUAAUUAUCUUAAUACUCAGCUUGAUGAUGGGUAAGUUAGUACGAGCCAGAGAUGAUUUCAUUUCUUUCA